CAAUAGCGUAUAUUAAAGUUGUUGCGGUUAAAAAGCUCGUAGUUGGAUUUCUGCCGAGGACGACCGGUCCGCCCUCUGGGUGUGUAUCUGGUUUGGCCUGGGCAUCUUCUUGGAGAACGUAGCUGCACUUGACUGUGUGGUGCGGUGUCCAGGACUUUUACUUUGAGGAAAUUAGAGUGUUUCAAGCAGGCACACGCCUUGAAUACAUUAGCAUGGAAUAAUAAGAUAGGACCUCGGUUCUAUUUUGUUGGUUUCUAGAGCUGAGGUAAUGAUUAAUAGGGAUAGUUGGGGGCAUUCGUAUUUAACUGUCAGAGGUGAAAUUCUUGGAUUUAUUAAAGACUAACUUAUGCGAAAGCAUUUGCCAAGGAUGUUUUCAUUAA
rnacentral:rRNA from 1 species